rnacentral:rRNA from 1 species
GAUGAACGCUGACGGCGUGCCUAAUACAUGCAAGUCGAGCGAAUGGAUUAAGAGCUUGCUCUUAUGAAGUUAGCGGCGGACGGGUGAGUAACACGUGGGUAACCUGCCCAUAAGACUGGGAUAACUCCGGGAAACCGGGGCUAAUACCGGAUAACAUUUUGAACCGCAUGGUUCGAAAUUGAAAGGCGGCUUCGGCUGUCACUUAUGGAUGGACCCGCGUCUCAUUAGCUAGUUGGUGAGGUAACGGCUCACCAAGGCAACGAUGCGUAGCCGAACUGAGAGGGUGAUCGGCCACACGGGGACUGAGACACGGCCCAGACUCCUACGGGAGGCAGCAGUAGGGAAUCUUCCGCAAUGGACGAAAGUCUGACGGAGCAACGCCGCGUGAGUGAUGAAGGCUUUCGGGUCGUAAAACUCUGUUGUUAGGGAGGAACAAGUGCUAGUUGAAUAAGCUGGCACCUUGACGGUACCUAACCAGAAAGCCACGGCUAACUACGUGCCAGCAGCCGCCGCGG